GCUAAUCGCAUAAAGCUGUUUCGUAUAAUCCCGGGAAUCGGCCCGGGAGUUUCUACGAGGUCACCGGAAUGGCCUGGCUACGAAGCGGACGAAGCGUGGG
rnacentral:ncRNA from 2 species